AUUGAACGCUGGCGGUAUGCUUAACACAUGCAAGUCGAACGAUGAGAAAGAGCUUGCUCUUUCGAUUAGUGGCGGACGGGUGCGUAACGCGUAGGAAUCUACCUAUUAGUGGGGGACAACUUAGGGAAACUUAAGCUAAUACCGCAUACGCCCUACGGGGGAAAGAAGGGGAUCGCAAGACCUUUUGCUAAUAGAUGAGCCUGCGUAGGAUUAGCUAGUAGGUGGGGUAAAAGCUCACCAAGGCGACGAUCCUUAACUGGUUUGAGAGAAUGAUCAGUCACACUGGAACUGAGACACGGUCCAGACUCCUACGGGAGGCAGCAGUGGGGAAUAUUGGACAAUGGGCGAAAGCCUGAUCCAGCAAUACCGCGUGUGUGAAGAAGGCCUUAGGGUUGUAAAGCACUUUCAAUUGGAAGGAAAACCUCGAAGCUAAUACCUUCGAGUUUGACAUUACCUUUAGAAGAAGCACCGGCUAACUACGUGCCAGCCGCCGCUGUAA
rnacentral:rRNA from 1 species